ensembl:lncRNA
ACUUCGAAAUAUAUAAAAACACGAAUGAUGCUUUUAAAAAUAAUUUAUCAGGAUAUAAUAUAUUACAGAGUAUAAAAAAUUAUAACGAGUUGUUAUUUUUUGAGUUUUGUGCGAAAAAAAACUUAAAAAAUUAUUUUUAUUUAUAUAAACAUUUUAUCGAAAUUAUAAUUAAAAAGAGAGAUUUAUAUAACAUUAAUAAUGUAUUAUUAUUAACAACUAAUUUAAAAAAAAUAAAUUACUAUAAUCCAUAUUUUUGUAAAUUAAUAUGUAGAGAAGUUUGUUUAGAUAUAUAUAAAAUUAAAAACUUAUUACAAAUAACUAAUUUUAUUGAUUUUUUAAUGCAUUUUAACAUAUAUAACUUGUAUUAUUUAAAUAAAAUUUAUAAUUAUAUUGUUUAUUUAAUAACAAAAACUAACAAAUGGAAAAUUAUAAAAACAAGCAGCUCCACUAAAAGUGCGGAUGUUAAAAACUUUAUACAAGUAAUAGAAGAAGAAAAUAUUCAAAACCAACACAAUAUUAAUGAUAAUAAUGUCAAUAGUGAUGCCAAUAAAAAUAGUAACCACGAUAAUGUAGACAGCUCGUUUUUGCCAAUACAUACAGAUGAUAUUCUGACCAUAUCCAAAUCUUUUAUAAAAUAUAAUUUUUUAAAUAUAAACUUAUUAAUAUUACAAUUGUAUAUAUGUAAUCAUAAUAAAUACACACAUUUACAAAAUGUUAAAACAUUAUAUCAUCUAUCCACUUUGUGCGAACAUUAUAAAUUUAUAAAUGAGCGUUAUUCAUUUGGUUCCUUUUCGAACUUGCUAAAAAAAGAUAUAUUUUUAAAUAGUGACAGUAGUGAUAGUAGCGGUAGUAGUGAAAACAAUAAUUUUAUGCUUUUUUUAAAGAUGUAUUAUAAUAUUUGUAAAACAUAUGAAAACCUGUUUGAUUUAAAUCUUUACAACUUUAUUUUAAAUAAUUAUAAACACAAAUCUGACAAAACAAACGGACAUAAACAAAAUGUAUCGUCAGAAGAAGUACAGUCAAGUUAUAUUUUAUUAAAUGAAAAAAAAAGGAAACGCGUUUUUAAAAAAAAUGUCACAAAAGAUGGAGCACGCACUGAGUCAUGUAACUAUGUACAAAAUUGUGUCAAUAAUAGUAGUAGUGGUAGUAGUAGUAGUAGUAGUAAUAUUAGUGCCACUAAGAGAAAAUACAACAACAGUAACAUAGAUGAUGACACCUUUCCACCACUAACCAUUUUUCCAUUUAAUAACAAUAGCGAAAUUAAUUUAAAAAAACAUGAUAUAAAUAUAAAAGAUAGUUAUUUUAUUUUUCAUAAAAACAAAAAGUUAAAUAAUGAUGAUGAUGAUGUUCUUUUUUUUAACACUUUUAACAUUUUAAAAUACAUAAUAUUAUUUGUUGAAUUAAAAAUAAAUGUGAGUUUUCCUUUUCAACAAAAAAAAACAAAUAUUGAAAUUGAAUUUUUUAAAAGAAAAAAUUUUGAAAAUGACAAUGAAAAGAAUGUACAUAAAUAUAUUUCACAAAACAUAAGUAAAGAGCAAAGCGAACAACUUGAAAAUUUAUUGAAUGAACAUAAACAAAAAGACAUUUUUGAUAAUUCAAAUUUAAAAUUUUUAUUUUAUUUAAACUACAACAAAUUUCAGGAUGAUAGUAAUAAAUACCCAAUGGAGAAAAAUGAAAAACAAACAUUCAUAUCACAACAAGGGGGAAAUAAAAACAUUACAUAUGAGGAUAUAAACAACUAUAUAAAUAAAAAAAAGAGUGUUAAUUUUAAUUUAACUGACGAAACGUAUUUCUCUCAUAUACUUUUUCAUU